CUCUGCUAACCUGAGACUUUUGGAAGAAUCUUAAUGCAUAUAGUUGUGCCACUUCUGUCUGUCUUCACGUUCAAAAUCUUGACUGAUUGGAGACUACAGCAGAGGUCACAAAUACUAGGAGAACAACUGCUUGGCAACAAUGAACAGUAAAUACUGAAAAUGAAAUACUGGAAAACAGAAAGGAGUUUAAAAGUCCAAUGCACAAACUGGUCUGUGGAAAAAUAAAAAUGAAGACACGUUUCUUCUCCCAGACUACUGUGCUGUGAUGUGGAUUUAAAGACAGGAGACUUUUUCAUGAGAUGUCAAUACUUGAGCUUUUUUUUUUUUCCCCACACAUAUGAUAUGUCCAGAAUCUGAGUAGCAGCACCUAGCAGUCAUUGAUGGAGUCUCCUGUUCCAUACACCUACCUCCACUCUGAUGGACUGGUUUGGUGUUUGAGAGAUGUUGGAGAUGGCUCCAGGUUGAUCCAGUUUAAUAGUAUUCCUGCCCUUUCUUGUCCUUGUCUUGCCCCAGAGAUAAAACAAAAGCCUGCAACAUGCAUGUCAUAGUUUAUAUAUGUAUAAACAACAAAUUCACAUGAUGAUGUUUCCUCAGAACAUGUUAACAAUGAAAAAAACCACAAAACUUGUUACUUAUAAUGAAAGGGAGAAUGUUGAGAUACCUGAAGUGAAUGAAUAGCAUACUUUUGUCAUCAGGCCUAGGAGUCAGAAUCCUAGGACAGUGACUUAUUCUUAGAACAUCAGUUUGUCAGAUCUAAUCUUCCAAUUGAUGAAAUAAAAUACUGUUUUUUAAAAUCCAAUUAAGUCCAAAAAAUGAAAAACACUUGACAGGAAGGAUCAUUAGUUUAUUGUACUAAAUGCCAGAGCUUUAAGAACGAGGAAAUACGUCUCUCGUAUAAUGGAGGAGCUGAACUCUAUUCUGGAAUUGCUCUGAGCCCUGUGGGAAGGUUGGUAGCAGGUGUAUGCUGGCAGAGCAAUGCUGAGUUUUUCCUUUAGCUUCAAUACAUUAGUAACCUAAAUGUUUUAUCCAGGGAGCAUCAUACUGAUAGUUAGGCUAUAGCACUCUGUGUUUGGAGUGAGAGUAGAAAAGACUGAUGAUCUAGAUUGUCCAUUAAUAAUGUGACUUAAAACAGACCAGUAAAUCUGAUUGGUUUCAGAAGAGCAGUGGGAAUUAAGACUUGCAACCAACUUGGCACUGGGUGGCCUCUUUCAUUAGAAUGAAUGCUGCUCCUCAGGGAACACCUGGUUUACUGCAAUUAAGCUGUACAGGGUUUAUUAGCAGCAUUAUUUAGUUGUGGCUUGAAUUAUUAUGCUCUACAAUAAUCCUCAUUAAUCUAUUUACGUGUCUUUCCAUUCCAUUUAUCCUUUGGUUGUCAACCUUUAUAAUCACACUUUUCCUUUGUGUCAAGGAUGAUGUUUGAAGGGACUUGCAUUAAGAUAAACACUCCAGUCAGUGUACCUGGAACUUUCACAUAUUUUUUUAGACAUUGGCUUUUGUGUGGAACAGUUAGGAUAAACAGAUUUUUCAUUCUGACUUGCAGAAGGAGGUGGUACUGCAUAGAUUGAGGAAAAAAAUCUCUAAAUUAGAAGCAGAAGUAAUUCACAAGCUGGAAUUAAAGCUUCUGGUGAAAAAUAUCACCAAUUGUAGCGCUGAAAUCUAUUGCAUUCUUCACAGAUGACGUGGAUGAGAUCAAAGAACUCUCAUCUUAGCACUCAAAAUGUAGACACAAAAGAGUAUUUUCAUUAAUUCCACAAGAGAGCCUAUCUGCCAUGGCUUUAGCCUUAAAGUUAUCCCUGUUUUGAGCUGGGAAUUGGUCAAGAUUAUCUCUGGUAGAUUUUGGAUAGAGCAGCAUGCAGCUCUUGUUCAUCACUUGUGAAAAUGCACAGCUGUUAGCAGUGACUAUGUGGAAAAAUAAUUUUUUGUAGCUCAGAAUUUGCUCCAUCAAAUGGCGUUAUUGAGCUCUUUGUAUCUAUUGUAGUUUCUGUGGAAAUAAAUAGGAUGUAUUACUUUUGGAGCUACACACACACAUAUAAGUAAUUUUUUUCUGCAAUAAACCUUUUUUGAUAUUGUUUCUUAGACCUGUAAUUCACGGUUAAUGAUUUCUGAUUCACUUAUAAUCUUUCUGUAAUGACUGCUUUGACAUUUCCUUCAUCAGGUUUUUUUUUUUUUUUUUUUUUCUCUUCUUCUGGGAUAAUGUCAUCAAAACAAACAGCUUAGGCAUAUGGUGGCACAAAAACCGAAGACAGAAUUUAAAAAAUAAAUACAUAUCUUAAUGCUGAUGUUCUCAAAGUACAGGUUGUCAUUCUUUUUAUAUGAUGGAAAGUAUUACAAGAAUUGAAGAAAAGAUGUAUGGGUGACAGUCAUGUAUGAGUUAAAGGAAGUGUUAAAUUCCAAAUGGAGUUUUUUCCAAAAACAUUUUGUUGCCUACGGUUUUUAUUGAUCAGUUAUUGAAUCUCUUGAGGCCUAAAUCCUAACUGAAAAAUAAAAAUCCAAACAACUUA